rnacentral:rRNA from 1 species
CUCCUACGGGAGGCAGCAGUGGGGAAUAUUGCACAAUGGGGGAAACCCUGAUGCAGCGACGCCGCGUGAAGGAAGAAGUAUCUCGGUAUGUAAACUUCUAUCAGCAGGGAAGAUAAUGACGGUACUCAACAAGGAAGUGACGGCUAACUACGUGCCAGCAGCCGCGGUAAAACGUAGGUCACAAGCGUUGUCCGGAAUUACUGGGUGUAAAGGGAGCGCAGGCGGGAAGACAAGUUGGAAGUGAAAUCCAUGGGCUCAACCCAUGAACUGCUUUCAAAACUGUUUUUCUUGAGUAGUGCAGAGGUAGGCGGAAUUCCCGGUGUAGCGGUGGAAUGCGUAGAUAUCGGGAGGAACACCAGUGGCGAAGGCGGCCUACUGGGCACCAACUGACGCUGAGGCUCGAAAGUGUGGGUAGCAAACAGGAUUAGAUACCCUGGUAGUCCACACCGUAAACGAUGAUUACUAGGUGUUGGAGGAUUGACCCCUUCAGUGCCGCAGUUAACACAAUAAGUAAUCCACCUGGGGAGUACGACCGCAAGGUUGAAACUCAAAGGAAUUGACGGGGGCCCGCACAAGCAGUGGAGUAUGUGGUUUAAUUCGACGCAACGCGAAGAACCUUACCAAGUCUUGACAUCCUGCGACGAUGCUGGAAACAGUAUUUUCCUUCGGGACGCAGAGACAGGUGGUGCAUGGUUGUCGUCAGCUCGUGUCGUGAGAUGUUGGGUUAAGUCCCGCAACGAGCGCAACCCUUAUGGUCAGUUACUACGCAAGAGGACUCUGGCCAGACUGCCGUUGACAAAACGGAGGAAGGUGGGGAUGACGUCAAAUCAUCAUGCCCUUUAUGACUUGGGCUACACACGUACUACAAUGGCGUUAAACAAAGAGAAGCAAGACCGCGAGGUGGAGCAAAACUCAGAAACAACGUCCCAGUUCGGACA